rnacentral:lncRNA from 1 species
CUGAAUUUUAAUAUUUUCAUAUCAAAAUAGAUCCUUAUUGGUUGAAAGACCUUCAAUUGUUCUUUGAACAAUUGGUUUUUAAUUAUUAUUAUUUUUUUUUUUUUUUUUUUCUUCCGCCAACUUUUUUUUCCUUCGCUGUUUUUUUGUUUCACAAGAUGUCGCUUAGAUAUUUGGUAUAUGAUAUCGAACAGUUAAUGCGCUUCUGAAACUGACACCGCGUAACAAAAACCUUUACCUUGUAAGAGUUAUCUCCCCAAACACUGUUUUUCUUGUGGCCACUACUACUUCGCAACCGUAUAAGAAACCGACAAAUUUAUUUUUUC